rnacentral:rRNA from 1 species
GAUGAACGCUGGCGGCGUGCCUAAUACAUGCAAGUCGAGCGAAGCGGGGACGGGUGAGUCACACGUGGAUACCUUCCUAUCAGACUGGGAUCACUUCGGGAACCCGGAGAUAAAUCGGAUACUUAUGGCUGGAUCCGCGCUGCAUUGGUUAGUUGGUAAGGUAACGGCUUACCAAGGCUACGAUGCAUAGCCGACCUGAGAGGGUGAUCGGCCACCCGGGAACUGAGACACGGUCCAGACGCCUACGGGAGGCAGCAGUAGGGAAUCUGCCGCAAUGGGCGAAAGCCUGACCGAGCAACGCCGCGUGAGUGAUGAAGGUCGUCGGAUCGUAAAGCUCUGUUAUUAGGGAAGCGGUACCUAAUCAGAAAGCCCCGGCUAACUACGUGCCAGCCGCCGCGGUAAUUC